GACGGGGGAUGCAAGCGUUAUCCGGAAUCACUGGGCGUAAAGCGUCUGCAGGUGGUUUCCUAAGUCCACUGUUAAACCUUGAGGCUCAACCUCAAAUCUGCAUUGGAAACUAGAAGACUUGAGUAUAGUAGGGGUAGAGGGAAUUUCCAGUGGAGCGGUGAAAUGCGUAGAUAUUGGAAAGAACACCGAUGGCGAAGGCACUCUACUGGGCUAUUACUGACACUCAGAGACGAAAGCUAGGGGAGCAAAUGGG
rnacentral:rRNA from 1 species